rnacentral:rRNA from 1 species
CAGCCGCCGCGGUAAAACAGAGGGUGCGAGCGUUAAUCGGAUUUACUGGGCGUAAAGCGUGCGUAGGCGGCUUUUUAAGUCGGAUGUGAAAUCCCUGAGCUUAACUUAGGAAUUGCAUUCGAUACUGGGAAGCUAGAGUAUGGGAGAGGAUGGUAGAAUUCCAGGUGUAGCGGUGAAAUGCGUAGAGAUCUGGAGGAAUACCGAUGGCGAAGGCAGCCAUCUGGCCUAAUACUGACGCUGAGGUACGAAAGCAUGGGGAGCAAACAGGAUUAGAGACCCCCGUAGUCCCUGUCUCUUAUAC